rnacentral:rRNA from 1 species
GAUGAACGCUGGCGGCGUGCCUAAUACAUGCAAGUCGAGCGAACAGACGAGGAGCUUGCUCCUCUGACGUUAGCGGCGGACGGGUGAGUAACACGUGGAUAACCUACCUAUAAUACUGGGAUAACUUCGGGAAACCGGAGCUAAUACCGGAUAAUAUAUUGAACCGCAUGGUUCAAUAGUGAAAGACGGUUUUGCUGUCACUUAUAGAUGGAUCCGCGCCGCAUUAGCUAGUUGGUAAGGUAACGGCUUACCAAGGCGACGAUGCGUAGCCGACCUGAGAGGGUGAUCGGCCACACUGGAACUGAGACACGGUCCAGACUCCUACGGGAGGCAGCAGUAGGGAAUCUUCCGCAAUGGGCGAAAGCGUGACGGAGCAACGCCGCGUGAGUGAUGAAGGUCUUCGGAUCUUAAAACUCUGUUAUUAGGGAAGAACAAAUGUGUAAGUAACUAUGCACGUCUUGACGGUACCUAAUCAGAAAGCCACGGCUAACUACGUG